rnacentral:lncRNA from 1 species
AGGCUACGUCAGCGGCGGACAGCAAGGCGGGGAGAGGGGCAGCCCGCUCGCGGGCCUCGGCCUGCGGCCGGGAUCCUCCGCCCGGGUCGCGCAGCCGAGGCCGAGGGCUGGGGCGGGCGGCCGGGAAGUGGGAAAGGGAGCCAGAGGCGCUCCUUUUGUCUUUUCUUCCCAUCCCCCAGGUUUGGGAAAGUUUUCCUUUUGGGAAAGCCCCUCUCUUCAGCCUGCUGGCGGGUGUCGGAUUGGUUAGCGGCCACCGGCCCCCGUCGCCCCCAACAGGAUUCUCCUUUGGGCCACAGGCCUUCCGGAAGUUGCCAAACCCCGGUAGUGGCAGCGUCAGGCUGGGGGCUUUAUUAGGGGGCACCAGGGUCUGCUUUCCGACUCCCUUCCGACUCUGCGCCUGCGCAGGAAGCGAUUUGGGGAGUGUUGUGAAUUCCGAGGGCUCCACACUUAAGAGGUUGUACACUCACCUAUCUACCUGGACUCCAAUUUCCAUAUUUCCAGCCACUUGAGGACUGAGAGGUGGAUGAUAAACCCUGUCAUAGUGGAGCAAGUUCAGGUGUUUAACCGCUGUUAUGGGGGAUCUGCCUUUUCUCCCUCUUCUUUCUUACUUCCAUAAGUAUGUAUGUGCAGAGAUUGAAAAAUAACCUUGAGAGAGUCCAUCCAUCUAACUCCAGAAUCUCUCUCUGUCACCCAGGCUGGAGUGCAGUGGCAUGAUUUUGGCUCACUGUAUCCUCCGCCUCCCUGGCUCAAGCAAUUCCCCUGCCUCAGCCUCCCAAGUAGCUUGGAUUACAGAGGAUGAUGGCUUCCAACAGGGGUGGUCAUUUCCAAUCAGACACCUAAGAACUCCUGCUAAUGGGCAAUGAUGGAGGCACAUUCUAGAUGGAGGCACAUUCUAGAAACCCUUGAAACUGUGUGUUGCUUUGGACAGCUGUUUCAGGAUGUUGGGAACUGACUGUAAGGAAGACAGGAUUGGAGAACCAGGUUUAGAAGAGAAAAGGCAGUGCCAGAAGUUUUUGAUUGGAGGAAACUGCAGAGCAGUGUUGCACAAGAACCAUUGCUGGACUGCAUCAUUGCUUACCCAACAUGACUCAGCCUCAGUAUUGCCACUGACUCACGGAGCUCCUAAUAGAGGAGAAUUAGUGUCACAGAUUGACUGGAAAACCAAUCCACAUGAAGCCAGGAAGAGAAAUGAAGCUGCUGUUGCUGAAUCCAUAGCUGGCCUUAAUGAUGCUGGCUAGGAAAGACGGCCCAUUCUGGGGGAGAAAAGUGAUGAAACUCUACAUUUUCCAAGGACACAGUGCUAGUAUGAAUGAAUAAUAAUGGGGUUGUCUAUGAAGAGGAGAGAAUGAAAAAGCUCAGCUUACCAAGAUGAAUGCUCCUCUGAUCUUG